UACAGAGGGGGCAAGCGUUAUUCGGAAUUAUUGGGCGUAAAGGGCGCGUAGGCGGCUUCGCAAGUGGUGGGUGAAAUCCCUCGGCUUAACCGAGGAACUGCCCUCCAAACUGCGUUGCUUGAGUCCGGGAGAGGUGAGUGGAAUUCCCAGUGUAGCGGUGAAAUGCGUAGAUAUUGGGAGGAACACCAGUGGCGAAGGCGGCUCACUGGACCGGAACUGACGCUGAGGCGCGAAAGCGUGGGGAGCGAACAGG
rnacentral:rRNA from 1 species